GUAUCUGAUUUUGUAUCGCCGGAAAUCGUUCAAUUGCUAAUAAUAAAUUACUAAUAGUCACAGAAUAUGUUGGGAAAACAGCGGAAUACACAUUAUCUUAUCUGUUUUUCAUAAAAUCAAUGAUAUUAUAUUUACGUACCUAUGUCAUAUUAUACGACUCUUUCAUUCGUAUAGUCGUAUACCUACUCGUAUUAUAUUAUUUUGUAUUUAUCAUUUAUUCGUGGAUCACGUGUUCUGUCAAAUUGCUUCUUCGAAAUGUUUGACAGUACUCAAGAUAUUGGAGCUACAGAUCAAGCAUCUAUCUACUUUCGCUACUUAAAUAAUACAGAUAUUAAAGAGCGCCUAUUUGCCGUCAUUAAAAUAGA
rnacentral:misc_RNA from 1 species